UACGGAGGGUGCGAGCGUUGUUCGGAAUCACUGGGCGUAAAGGGCGUGUAGGCGGUCUGUUAAGUCUGAUGUGAAAGCCCGGGGCUCACCCCCGGAAGUGCAUUGGAUACUGGCGGACUCGAGUCCCGGAGAGGAGGGUGGAAUUCCUGGUGUAGCGGUGAAAUGCGUAGAGAUCAGGAGGAAUACCGGUGGCGAAAGCGACUCUCUGGACGGCAACUGACGCUGAGGCACGAAAGCGUGGGGAGCAAACAGG
rnacentral:rRNA from 1 species